CGGGCGUUAAGUUGCAGGGUAUAGACCCGAAACCCGGUGAUCUAGCCAUGGGCAGGUUGAAGGUUGGGUAACACUAACUGGAGGACCGAACCGACUAAUGUUGAAAAAUUAGCGGAUGACCUGUGGCUGGGGGUGAAAGGCCAAUCAAACCGGGAGAUAGCUGGUUCUCCCCGAAAGCUAUUUAGGUAGCGCCUCGUGAAUUCAUCUCCGGGGGUAGAGCACUGUUUCGGCUAGGGGGCCAUCCCGGCUUACCAACCCGAUGCAAACUGCGAAUACCGGAGAAUGUUAUCACGGGAGACACACGGCGGGUGCUAACGUCCGUCGUGAAGAGGGAAACAACCCAGACCGCCAGCUAAGGUCCCAAAGUCAUGGUUAAGUGGGAAACGAUGUGGGAAGGCCCAGACAGCCAGGAUGUUGGCUUAGAAGCAGCCAUCAUUUAAAGAAAGCGUAAUAGCUCACUGGUCGAGUCGGCCUGCGCGGAAGAUGUAACGGGGCUAAACCAUGCACCGAAGCUGCGGCAGCGACACUGUGUGUUGUUGGGUA
rnacentral:rRNA from 3 species